rnacentral:rRNA from 1 species
AAUCAAGCGCGAAAGGGCAUUUGGUGGA